rnacentral:rRNA from 1 species
AGUUAAGUGACUAAGCGUACACGGUGGAUGCCUUGGCAAUCAGAGGCGAAGAAGGACGUGCUAAUCUGCGAAAAGCGUGGGGGAGCUGAUAAGGAGCGAAAAUCCCACGAUAUCCGAAUGGGGAAACCCGAUAGAUGAAGAAUCUAUCAUUGUUGUCUGAAUUCAUAGGGCAACAAGGCAAACCGGGAGAACUGAAACAUCUAAGUACCCCGAGGAAAAGAAAUCAACCGAGAUUCUGCGAGUAGCGGCGAGCGAAAGCGGAGGAGCCAGCGAGUGAUAGCAUAAGUUUUAGGAGAAUUGUCUGGGAAGGCAAGCGAGAGAGGGUGACAGCCCCGUAUCCGAAAAGACGGAUGUGGUACUAAGCACGCGAGAAGUAGGGCGGGACACGAGGAAUCCUGUUUGAAGAAGGGGGGACCAUCCUCCAAGGCUAAAUACUCCUGAUUGACCGAUAGUGGACCAGUACCGUGAGGGAAAGGCGAAAAGAACCCCGGGAGGGGAGUGAAAGAGAACCUGAAACCGUGUACGUACAAGCAGUGGGAGCCCGAAAGGGUGACUGCGUACCUUUUGUAUAAUGGGUCAGCGACUUAUAUUUUGUAGCGAGGUUAACUGAAUAAGGGAGCCGAAGGGAAACCGAGUCUUAACUGGGCGGUUAGUUGCAAGAUAUAGACCCGAAACCCGGUGAUCUAGCCAUGGGCAGGAAGAAGGUUGGGUAACACUAACUGGAGGGCCGAACCGACUACUGUUGAAAAAGUAGCGGAUGACCUGUGGCUGGGGGUGAAAGGCCAAUCAAACCGGGAGAUAGCUGGUUCUCCCCGAAAUCUAUUUAGGUAGAGCCUUAUAUGAAUACCUUCGGGGGUAGAGCACUGUUUCGGCUAGGGGUCCAUCCCGGAUUACCAACCCGAUGCAAACUGCGAAUACCGAAGAGUAAUGUAUAGGAGACACACGGCGGGUGCUAACGUUCGUCGUGGAGAGGGAAACAACCCAGACCGCCAGCUAAGGUCCCAAAGUCUAUAUUAAGUGGGAAACGAAGUGGAAAGGCUUAGACAGCUAGGAUGUUGGCUUAGAAGCAGCCAUCAUUUAAAGAAAGCGUAAUAGCUCACUAGUCGAGUCGGUCUGCGCGGAAGAUGUAACGGGGCUAAAAUAUAGCACCGAAGCUGCGGCAUCAGGCGUAUCACACAUACGCCUUAAGAUUAACACCUUGCGAAGCAAGGUGGUCAAGCGACUUACACGUUGAGGUGUGAGCGGGAGGGAUAAUCGAAGAGAGGAAUAUGUGUGAUACGUCUGUUGGGUAGGGGAGCGUUGUGUAAGCUGAAGAAGGUGGUUCGAGAGGGCUGCUGGAGGUAUCACAAGUGCGAAUGCUGACAUAAGUAACGAUAAAGCGGGUGAAAGACCCGCUCGCCGGAAGACCAAGGUUUCCUGUCCAACGUUAAUCGGGGCAGGGUGAGUCGGCCCCUAAGGCGAGGCUGAGAAGCGUAGUCGAUGGGAAAUGGGUUAAUAUUCCCAUACUUGGAUAAACUGCGAUGUGGGGACGGAGCAGGUUAGGUUAGCGUACGGAUGGAAGAGUACGUUUAAGUUGGUAGGUGGGUGAGUUAGGCAAAUCCGGCUCACCAUUAACACUGAGAGAUGAUGACGAGGCUCUACGGAGCUGAAGUAACUGAUACCCAACUUCCAGGAAAAGCCACUAAGCGAGAGGUUUAUCUAAACCGUACUGGAAACCGACACAGGUGGUCAGGUAGAGAAUACUAAGGCGCUUGAGAGAACUCGGGUGAAGGAACUAGGCAAAAUAGCACCGUAACUUCGGGAGAAGGUGCGCUGGCGUAGUGUGAAGUUCUUCGCGAAUGGAGCAUGAACCAGUCGAAGCGACGAGCUGGCUGCAACUGUUUAAUAAAAACACAGCACUCUGCAAACACGAAAGUGGACGUAUAGGGUGUGAUGCCUGCCCGGUGCUGGAAGGUUAAUUGAUGGUGUCAUCGAAAGAGAAGCACCUGAUCGAAGCCCCAGUAAACGGCGGCCGUAACUAUAACGGUCCUAAGGUAGCGAAAUUCCUUGUCGGGUAAGUUCCGACCUGCACGAAUGGCAUAAUGAUGGCCAGGCUGUCUCCACCCGAGACUCAGUGAAAUUGAAAUCGCCGUGAAGAUGCGGUGUACCCGCGGCUAGACGGAAAGACCCCGUGAACCUUUACUAUAGCUUGACACUGAACCUUGAAUUUUAAUGUGUAGGAUAGGUGGGAGACUAAGAAGCGGUAACGCCAGUUAUCGUGGAGUCGGUGUUGAAAUACCACCCUUUAACGUUUGAUGUUCUAACGAGGCGCUCGGGACGAGUGUUCGGACAGUGUCUGGUGGGUAGUUUGACUGGGGCGGUCUCCUCCCAAAGCGUAACGGAGGAGCACGAAGGUUGGCUAAUGACGGUCGGACAUCGUCAGGUUAGUGCAAUGGUAGAAGCCAGCUUAACUGCGAGACGGACAAGUCGAGCAGGUACGAAAGUAGGUCAUAGUGAUCCGGUGGUUCUGAAUGGAAGGGCCAUCGCUCAACGGAUAAAAGGUACUCCGGGGAUAACAGGCUGAUACCGCCCAAGAGUUCAUAUCGACGGCGGUGUUUGGCACCUCGAUGUCGGCUCAUCACAUCCUGGGGCUGAAGUAGGUCCCAAGGGUAUGGCUGUUCGCCAUUUAAAGUGGUACGCGAGCUGGGUUUAGAACGUCGUGAGACAGUUCGGUCCCUAUCUGCCGUGGGCGUUGGAGGAUUGAGGGGGGUUGCUCCUAGUACGAGAGGACCGGAGUGAACGCACCGCUGGUGUUCGGGUUGUCAUGCCAAUGGCAUUGCCCGGUAGCUAAGUGCGGAAGAGAUAAGUGCUGAAAGCAUCUAAGCACGAAACUUGCCCCGAGAUGAGUUCUCCCUGACAAAGAGUCAGUAAGGGUUGUUGAAGACGACGACGUAGAUAGGUGGGGUGUGUAAGCGGUGUGAGCCGUUGAGCUAACCCAUACUAAUUGCCCGAGAGGCUUAACUAU